GAAAUGCGAUACGUAAUGCGAAUUGCAGAAUUCAGUGAAUCAUCAAAUUUUUGAACGCAACUUGCGCUGUUGGGUAGGCCCGGCAGCAUGCCUCUUUGAGUAUCGAUUCUAACCAAACUCGCCUGCGUGCUUCAGUGUCACAAGGGCGGACAAUGAGCGUCUGGUUUCGAAAGUGACCAGUUGCUUCAAAUACAACGUUGCUUUUCAAUGGUCCGCUAAAUGAAUAAGGCUCGCCUAUUCAUCUAGCUGAUGUUGAUAAUCCUGGGCUUCUGUUGCCUGGUUUUGACAUCGGGUCUAGGAAUGGGAGGGCUUUAGUGUGAUCGAAAAGCCGAACAAAGGAAAACACUCUUUUUUUUGAAUUUGAUCUCAGAUGAAGCAAGAUUACCCGCCGAAUUUAA
rnacentral:misc_RNA from 1 species